UACGUAGGGUGCAAGCGUUGUCCGGAAUUAUUGGGCGUAAAGAGCUUGUAGGCGGUUUGUCGCGUCUGCUGUGAAAUUUCGGGGCUCAACCCCGAACUUGCAGUGGGUACGGGCAGACUAGAGUGUGGUAGGGGAGACUGGAAUUCCUGGUGUAGCGGUGAAAUGCGUAGAUAUCAGGAGGAACACCGGUGGCGAAGGCGGAUCUCUGGGCCUGUCCUGACGCUGAGGCGCGAAAGCUAGGGGAGCGAACAGG
rnacentral:rRNA from 1 species